rnacentral:lncRNA from 1 species
GUAAUCAGAGUAAAAAGAUACAACAUUUAAGUAGAUCAAAACUACGAGGCAUCUAGUGUUGCCUAGGAAAGAAACAGGUGUCACUGGUGACAUAUUGCAAUCCUAUUGCACAAAUUCUGCAAGAGAACACCCACAAUCGACAUGUUACUGUGUUUGCCAAAUCUGCAUUAUUCUGGGAAUCAGAAAAUCUGGAGCGAUUGCAGCUAAGAUAUUUAAUGGAAAUCUGGAAAUCUCUAUAUUUAUAUUGGAAUUCUCAUAUAUGCAGGAGUUCAAAUUGAAUCGUGCUGAAACUUGAGGUCUUCUCUGGAAGUGUAAAGCAACAUUCCUCAGAAUUAGAAGACUAAGAUGAUAUGAUCAGAUCGAAACUACUGCGUUUAAAGUGAUCUUGCUGCUGAUCUCUGUGGGCUCUCAACCUGAUGAUGUGCAUUCAGUACAACAUAGAGGAAAGAAGCAAGGUUAGUGCUUUUAGUAUCUUAAGUGUUUUUGGUGUCAUCUCGACUAUUUUCUG